UCUCCCUUCUCUCUAAAACUUUCUCUCUUCUCUCUAAAAUUCUCUCAAUUGUUUCUAAAUCUCUCUCAUUAUCUUCUUUCUCUCUAAAAUUUUCUCAAGUCUUUCUCACAAUAUUAUCUUGUCAUUUUAGAUAUUAUGAUUCAUGGUUUUCAUCUUCUCCUUUAAAAAAUGUAAGUUUUAGAUCUAUAGAUUUUAAAUGUGUAUUUUUAUGUUUAUUUCUCACAAUAUUAUCUUUUUUUUGGUAGGUAUUAUCACUCAUGGAUUUCAU
rnacentral:lncRNA from 1 species